rnacentral:rRNA from 1 species
AUUGAACGCUGGCGGUAUGCUUAACACAUGCAAGUCGAACGGCAGCACGGUCUGUAGUAAUACAGAUGGGUGGCGAGUGGCGGACGGGUGAGUAAUACGCAGGAAUCUGCCCUAUAGAGGGGGAUAACUCGAGGAAACUCGAGCUAAUACCGCAUAGUCUCCACGGAGUAAAGCUGGGGCAACCUGGCGCUAUAGGAGGAGACUGCGUCUGAUUAGCUAGUUGGUGGGGUAAAGGCCUACCAAGGCGACGAUCAGUAGGUGGUCUGAGAGGAUGAGCACCCACACUGGGACUGAGACACGGCCCAGACUCCUACGGGAGGCAGCAGUGGGGAAUAUUGGACAAUGGGGGCAACCCUGAUCCAGCAAUACCGCGUGUGUGAAGAAGGCCUUAGGGUUGUAAAGCACCUUAGGCGGGGAAGAAGGUAUGUAUUUUAAGAGAUAACAUAUUUGACGGUACCCGCAGAAUAAGCACCGGCUAACUCUGUGCCAGCCGCCGCCGUAA